rnacentral:misc_RNA from 1 species
GAUGAAAAACGUAGCGAAAUGCGAUAAGUAGUGUGAAUUGCAGAAUUCAGUGAAUCAUCGAAUCUUUGAACGCACAUUGCGCCCCUUGGUAUUCCAUGGGGCAUGCCUGUUCGAGCGUCAUUUGUACCUUCAAGCUUUGCUUGGUGUUGGGUGUUUGUCUCGCCUUUGCGUGUAGACUCGCCUUAAAAUAAUUGGCAGCCGGCGUAUUGAUUUCGGAGCGCAGUACAUCUCGCGCUUUGCACUCAUAACGACAGCGUCCAAAAGUACAUUUUACACUCUUGACCUCGGAUCAGGUAGGGAUACCCGCUGAACUUAAGCAUAUCAAUAAGCGGAGGA